AGCGGGGAAUAUUGCGCAAUGGGCGAAAGCCUGACGCAGCAACGCCGCGUGCGGGAUGAAGGCCUUCGGGUUGUAAACCGCUUUCAGUGGGGACGAAUCAAGACGGUACCCACAGAAGAAGCCCCGGCCAACUACGUGCCAGCAGCCGCGGUAAUACGUAGGGGGCAAGCGUUGUCCGGAAUCAUUGGGCGUAAAGAGCUCGUAGGCGGUUCAGUAAGUCGGGUGUGAAACCCCCAGGCUCAACCUGGGGACGCCACCCGAUACUGCUGUGACUAGAGUCCAGUAGGGGAGUGUGGAAUUCCCGGUGUAGCGGUGAAAUGCGCAGAUAUCGGGAGGAACACCAGCGGCGAAGGCGGCACUCUGGGCUGGUACUGACGCUGAGGAGCGAAAGCGUGGGUAGCAAA
rnacentral:rRNA from 1 species